rnacentral:ncRNA from 2 species
CACAGGGUAGACUUUGGCGCGUUAAGUGCUGCGGGAACGGAAUGUGGACCGCAGACGAAGGAACUUCCGCGAUGCCUUAGUCACAUUCACUGUU